UUGAAUUUGAUCCUGGCUCAGAUGAACGCUGGCGGCAGGCCUAACACAUGCAAGUCGAAGGUAACAGGAAGCAGCUUGCUGCUUUGCUGACGAGUGGCGGACGGGUGAGUAAUGUCUGGGAAACUGCCUGAUGGAGGGGGAUAACUACUGGAAACGGUAGCUAAUACGCAUAACGUCGCAAGACCAAAGAGGGGGACCUUCGGGCCUCUUGCCAUCGGAUGUGCCCAGAUGGGAUUAGCUAGUAGGUGGGGUAACGGCUCACCUAGGCGACGAUCCCUAGCUGGUCUGAGAGGAUGACCAGCCACACUGGAACUGAGACACGGUCCAGACUCCUACGGGAGGCAGCAGUGGGGAAUAUUGCACAUGGGCGCAAGCCUGAUGCAGCCAUGCCGCGUGUAGAAGAAGGCCUCGGGUUGUAAAGUACUUUCAGCGGGGAGGAAGGGAGUAAAGGUAAUACCUUUGCUCACUUGACUUACCCGCAGAAGAAGCACCGGCUAACUCCGUGCCAGCAGCAAAUUUAUAA
rnacentral:rRNA from 1 species